GUGGGCCAGCUCUGCUGAUGAAAGGUAACUCAUUGAGCUGCAGAAACUUGAUUUGUUUUAUUUAGGGAAGGUUGCAAGGAAAGUUAGUGGUGCCCAGCCUUUCUCCUCCCUGAAUCUGGGCACCUCUCCUCCCCUGGGCACCUCUUCACUUGCCCAGGACUACUUGUUUUUCCUCUGAAAAGCUGGAUAGAAAAUCCCUUCUGGUUGCUUCUGUGCUGCCUGUGCAGGCUCGGACAGAUGUUCCCUUUGCAGAUCCUGGCUUGGGUACCGCUUAGUGGGGCAUCACUGCUGGGGGAGCGGAUCAGGGAGCACCUACCAGGGGUGACCUCUGGGAUGAAGGCGGGGGGAGGAAUUGGCUUCUUGUGCUUUGACCAGGGCUGGAAGGACUUGGCUGUGUUUUCUCUGUGUUUUGUCUACAUGGCUCUGUAUGCAUGGCAAAGCCUAUUGUAGUCUGGUGAAGAGUUCUAUAGGAGGCAGUGGGUCAGUGCCCUGAGCAAGAGACUGAUGGUGAACACUACAGAAUGUCCCUGUAAUAUGUUUGGAAUGGUCCAUAGACUCUGGUUUAUUUUUUAUUAUUUUUGUGUCACUUUUGGCUAAUUUUGGCAGGUUCCAUCUUGUGAGCUGGCAGGACAGGAAGCCUGGGGAUGGAGCUGCUCCCUGGUGCUGAGGGAUGGCCCCACAGGUGUUUGGUUCUGGCCGUGUUGCAGGAUGCAGUGAGGAAGGCGGAUCCCAGGUGGGAACUGGAUAAUGACAACUGAACUGCAUAAAAACACAUUUGCCCAUGCUUGGAACAGAGGAACACGAGUGAAUGUACUUGUGGGUGCUACAGAGAGAAAAUGCAUGUUUCUCUUGCCCCUUCUUGACACGCAGACAGCUGAGGAGGUUUCUUGUUGUGCAUAAUUCCUUCUGCAAAGGUGAAAUGAGCCUUUAAUGCCAGGGAGGCCACUGUGACACCAGGCAGAAGCAAAAGAGGGAAAAUAAUGAAUAAAUAAGCCAGAGGUUCACGUUAAGUGCAGUCGCCGUGUCUCAGCCUCACCCCCGCCUCUGCCACGCUGUAAUCUGUAGCGUAGAAAUGUUUCUCUUGGCUGCUGGUUUGGGGCUGUGCAAUCAAACCUGGUAGUUAAAAUCCUGCUGAACAGGGCAGGCAACCUGAACACCAGCUAAUGAGGAAACGCAGGCAGAGCUUACGAGCUGUUUGCAAAGGAAAAAAAAAGCACCAGAGGAGCAGGUGGUCACAUAGGAUCCAUCUUCUGCUGGUUUGAGCCAGCUCUCUGCACAUGGGGGGGUAGUGAAGAACUGCCACCAUAGGUAAUAUUCAGUGUGUCUCCUUUCCUUCCCUCUGAACAUCUGAUACUGCGGCAGCAUCCCUGCUCACAAGGGGAUUAGGUGCUAGCACAGUCCGCUGUAGCAGCUAUCUAUUUCCUACUGGUUUAUUCAAAUAACUUGGAAAAGUACAUCCAGCAGCUGAGUCCAGACAAAUUCUGUUGAAAAACACGGCUCUGCAGAAGUCAUUGCUGUGAGAUGUGUGAAAAGAGCAAACCCCGAACCCGCAGGAGCAGCAGCAGGCUGCUGUGGGUUUAAAUGUGUGCGCAGGAGGAAAAGUGUCAGGGGUCCCGAAACAGCUGGAGGGGUGGUCAGAGCAGCCGUGCUUCUGACAGUCUUCUUCUUUUAAAAAAUUAAUUUAAGAAACAAAAUAUAGGAAUUGCGGCAUUUGAAGCACCUCUCUGGAAACAGCUGGUGUGCUUGAUGUAUUCCUUUGCAGUGGCACCAUGAUACACCCAGCAGCACCAGGUUUGCCUGCAGAAGGUCUGUGCCUCUUCCCCAGAGAGCUCCUAUGUUUGUGUUUGGUUUGUUUAUUUUUUCCUCUGGAGUUUAACACAGUAAAGGGGAAAAGCAUUAUUUUGUGUGAUUUGGGUGCAUCUCUACCAGCUUGUUCUGGGCCUGGAGGAAAACUGUCAACCUGAAGCUGCUGUAAAGGGUGAUUCACCAGGCCAUGGGGUGUCAGAGGCUAUGGGAUUUCAGUGCGUUACCCCCAGCAGAACCCAGUUACUAAAGCAAAUCUUCCUGUAAGACACCCUGCUAUAAUUUAUUCAAACACACCCAGUAGCACAGUUAAAAUCCACAGCUACAAGAACAGCUUCCUGCCAUGGAUAUGCAAAUAUAGAGAUCAGUGCAAAUGAGGAAACUACAGCUCUCCUGACAAAAAGCAAACUGUGACUGUGAGGUAAACAUUACCUCUGGCCACAGAACACCCAUGGCUCCCAACCCAAGGCUCUCCUCUUGGAUGGCUUGUGUCCAGUCGGCACAGAGAUGCCCUUGAAAGCUCCUGCCAAGAAAUAAUUUCGGCACCUUGUUCUAGUGGUUGCCCUUUUGUGUGAUGCCCCCAGGAGUCUGUGCUGCAAUGCCUUGAGCUAGCCCUAGGUUUGCCCAGCUUCUGUAAUGCUGAACCAGGCUGUCCAAAAAGCAAGUCUUGUUUCUUCAGCAGCUCUUAUUACUUUUUUCCCUGCCAGAAUCUCACUGCUUCUCUGGAAAUAAACAGUUCCUGGGGCUGCUUGUUCAAAACACACAUUUUGCAGCCUUAUUACCAUAGCUAUUCUUUCCAGAGAUUAUCUCCCGGUAUGUGAUUUUCUCUGGGCUGUGAGCAGCCCUGAGACUUCACGAUUAUUUCUCAGCUCCCAGAGGCAGCAGGAGAGGGUGGUCCUGGCUUCCCCCGCGAUGCUGGAAGCAACGCUGGAGCCGGUGGGCGGAAGAGAUGUAUAAACAUGGAAGCAGCGUGCCUAAUUAAUGACCUGAAACCAGCGAUAAAGGUGCUUCCAUCCAAGCAGUGACCAAGGAAGGCGCUGUCAGGGUUCUGCUCCAGCCCCUGCAGAUCCCACACCUGAGGGAGAGGAAGAUCCAUUGCCCGGCAGAACUAUGCGUCCUCCUGCAUGCGCAUAAGGCAGGAGGUGCUAACAAAGUUCAACAUCAACUCAACCUACUGCCUGGCUUUGCCAUAGACUUAGGGGAAAUAUGUUCAUUGGCCUGGGCAUUCAGCACAGCGAUUAAUUGAGAGCUGCCUGAAUCUGGAGCACCAAGUGAGUACCACUAGAGCCAUCUGAAAAUGAGGGAGAAGAGACCGUGAGCGAAAGAAUCAGAGCUGGAGUCCAUGCACUGUACCGGUGAGUAAUCUGUACCUGCUGAGAGCUGACAGUUUUGGGGGCCAGGCGGGCUACCAGGUACAUCACUAUUGCUCUUUUGCUAUUAAAACGGUCCUGUGUUGCUGUUACAGUCGUGCAGGUGGGUGAUGCCAGCCCCUGUGCUGCUUGGGGAGCACUUGGGGAUGCUCCCCAGGGCUGGGACACUCCAUGGGGCAGGGUGUGGGAGCAGCUGCCUGCCUGGGCCUGCUGCCCACAUCCCCAUCCUCCUGUGCAUGGGGCUGGGGAGAGCCAACGGGGAGCAUGUGGGAUGCAAUGAGAGGGGCCCCAGGAGGAAGAUAGUUGGGCCUGGUGCUGUGGGAUGGGAGCCGUCGGGGGUGCUGCGGGCCAAGAGGGGCCAUGCAGCCGGGGGUGAGCCAGCCCGGGGGUCUGAGUGGGGACUGGCAGCACGAGGCUGCCCCAUCCCUGAGUCCUCUGCCCAAUCCCUGGGUGAUCUGCCUCAUCCUUCCUUUGUGGGAGCUGCUGCUCCCCGGAGACUCCUCGGCAGGAGCGUUUCCCUGCUUGCGGAGCGGGGUGCUGGGGCUCCCCCUGACUCCCGCGCGGGCUGCCUGGCGCCGCGGUGGGGGGCGGGCGGUGGGUGCAGUGAGGCGCCGCGGCCAGCAGGUGCCACUGCCCCCCCGCGUUGCCCGGGGCCGCCGCCGCCCGCCAAGGCGGUAACACGGACCGGCCAGCGCCCUGCCCGCGGGGCUCCGCCGGUCCUGCCCGCCCCGCUGCCGUGACUCCCCGCGGGGCCGGGACCCCAGCCCUGCCCAGCCGCCCCGCGGGUGAAACGCUGCUCGCGGGGCUUCCAGCGAGAGCUCGGAGCGCAGCCGUACCGCCGCGGCGGAGCCCGUCGGUGCCCCCACGCACACGCGGGACGGGGCGGCAGGUUCCACACCGGCGCGGCACGGGAGCAGCCCCCAGCCGCACCGCGGUGGGUGCCAGGAGCCCUGCGGGCUGCGCAGCGCCUGGACGGCGAGGGCAGGUGUCCCCACGCACACCCGCUCCCAUAAACACGCACUCUGGCCACGGUGCUUCAGCUUCUCCAUGCGCACCCCCUCACGGCUGUGGCCCGCCGGGCUCCGCUCCACUCCUUCCUGCGGGCGGGAUGAAGCCGCUCCCGCCGGGGGCUGGGCGGGGAGCCGGGCUGGGCGAGACCAAGGGGCAGCGGGCGAGGGGCUGGGGCUCCGUGUGUAAGGACUGACGUGCCACGGGGGUGAGCGGGUUGUGCAAAAUACAGAUGGGGCGAGCAGACAGCGUGUGUGUGCGCUGAGGGAGCUGUUCACCGAUCGUCUGGCAGCUUUGAUCUUGACAUUUUUUAAAGAACACAUUGGGAAAAGCACUCGUGUUUUCUGAAAGGCGUUAUAACCACAGCUGUGUCCUGUGCCCUACACACCUGCUGGGGAUGGGCACAUCCAAGCUGCAAUGACCUCUGGGCACUGUGGGCUGUGUGGCGGAGGUCCCGAGGUGAAAUCACCAUCACUUUCCCUUUGAAAAAAAAGGAAAGAGCCUCCCACCACUGGACAUCUCUGAUAAAAUAAUUCAUGCUGGAGGCUGCUUUGCCUUCAUCUGCACAUGUGGAGCUGCUGCAAAGCAUUCAUCUGAAGAGGGAAACUUCAGGGUGUUACUGAAAAAUUCCUUGAGUAAAAAAAAUAAAUGUAUAGAUAAAUAUUUAAGACACUGCAGCCAACCUUCUGCUUUUCUGAAUCGACUGAACUUUUUCUUAAGAGUGAAAUGCUGAAUUCUGGCUUUUUAUUACCAGGAUAACUUUUGCCACCAGGAAAAUUCAGACAAAUGAUUCAUAUUGCAGAUCAAGAGGUGCAAGGUUAGACCCUGAGUGCAGCAGACCCGCGGAGCUCAGCUGCUGUGAUGCUGAUUUACACCCUGGCAGAACAUCCCCUCUCCCAGCAAUUAUCCCCGUAAUCAUGAUCCCUGGGUAAUCGAGUGACAAGGUCUCUCUGUGUAAAGCUGAGUUUGUUCUUGGUUUUGUGAUGCAGAUAUUUGACCUGAAAUGGCUCCUUGCACAAGGUUUGCCACAAAGAGCUUCCUGUUAAUUCUGUGCCUGGUGCUUUGCAGCCGUGCACAAACGCAGUCUCUGCCUGUUUGUCAGCUCUGCUGUGCUGUCACCAGAAAGGGCACAUUUUUGCAGGGGACUCCAAAUGCAUUACUAAGUUUUUCUGUUUCCCGAGGGGGUACACAAAAUAGAGAGUAGUGACAUGACCCAAGUCAAGCAAGUGGCCAAUGUGAAAAGAGAGUGGGGUCCCCCUUUUAUCUUUAAUCUUCAAUGAUGUUAGGUAAAAGUAAUCCUACAUUUAUUAUUUUCAAAACAUCUUGUGGCUUCUAAGCCAGCCUCAAAAUUUUGUGGGUCCAGAAGAGUUAAAAUGGCCAGCUUAAACAGAACAAUCUGACUUGCUUACAUUGAAAGAUGAUCAUAGGACCUUUGGCGUUUUUGUCUCAGGAUAAUGAAGAUGCAUCUGUACAUUUUAAACAGCAGUAUAAUUACUUUCAUCAACACUGGCCAUCACUUAGGUGAAAUGGCUCUGAAACAGUGAAGCAGAGAGGAAAAGAAAAGCUAAAUGCUGCUCUGCUAAAUCGGGCAUGCAGUGAAGAAAGCCAGAAGCAGGAACAAUAUCAUGUAUAGUGGAGAAGAAAGAAUGGUCCUUGUGAGAGAGGCCACAUCAGAGCUGUUCAACUAUCUAAGGCCCUUUUUGCUGUCCUUGCCUCUCCACUGCACUGCUCCUGAGAUUCUCACAGAAGCAACGAGGCUGCUCCAAAACCAGAGUGGAUAACAAAAGGAAUAGUGAAGUGUAUUUUAAGAGAGCCAUUGUCCAAGGAAUCUAUCUUGUCUCUCCAGAUCACUGCUCCAGCCCUAUGUGGUGGUCACUCUCAAGAGCAGAUUCUGGAUGCACAGACUGCUGACAAGCUUGGCCCUUCUCUCCCCAUCUCUCCUCCAUGAAGUGGUUCCUCCUAGGUGCUGCCUCUGGCUUUCUCCCUUCACGACAAACAUCUGGCCAAUUUUUGGGGGUCAGAGACCAGAAGGCAGUGGAGGCUGGGUGGAUUUACUGGAAUUUAGUGUGGUUUCUUGGAGGAUUUGCAUGGGACGGACAUGCCCCGAAAGACCGGAGAUAACUCAGAUGAAAAGGAGUCAAUUAUCUGGUGCCUGGGAUACCAGAAGUCUGGACUUUAUGACCCAGGAAGUUUCUUUCUGCACCACGCUCCCAAUUUGUUGGAUUUUUUUUCUUCUUUAAUAUCAACAAAUAAAAUAACAUAUCCCGGAUACUCUGCAGUCAACAGCACUUGCUUUAUUGGUGAUGUAGGUGCAGAUUGAGAAGUGCAUGGAAGCGCUGAAGUACAAGCCCUGUCUCACCAGUUUUGUGGUCUAAGGGUACCAUAAGAUUGGGAUUUCCUUUUGAUGCAGGUGGGUAACCUGCAACAUGGAUCCUGUGCCUUUUACCUCCUCGCUUGGAAACAUUUUGUUGUCACUGCAGGUGAAGCUGGGACUGAACAUUUCCUCCCCAGCACCAUGUUGAGUCGGGCUUCAGGGAUGCAGGCUGCUUGGAACGUGGAUGAAACAUGCAGCACAGCCCUGCUACUCUCAGCCUGCCCUGGCUACGGAGGCUGAAUGAGAGGAAUGUUCUCUCACAGAGCGCACCCUUCAGCCACUCUUGAUCAAAGCCUGGCAGUUGGUAUCAAUUCAGGAGCAAACAAAUACAUGCAUAGAUGAAGAAAUGAGGAUCUGAAAUUUGCCCUUGGGUAGCCAACCUUCUAUAUCAACACCUGGAUCUCCCAGAAGCUGGAAUAAGAACUGAUGAACAAGAAAGAUCUGUUUUGCUCACCAUGCCUCUAGGACUCCAUCCCAUCCUCAACUGUCUUGUUCUGCAAGCAAAGGACAUACCUAAAAAAAUGCAUCUGCCUCAAGCUUAUUCAGCCACAUGGUAGAACAGAGACUUAUCCACCUUUUGAUAUUUUGUGCUGAUUGCUCUGCUAAAAUCAACAGCUAGCUGUUGAUUUAUCCGCAUAGCUAGCAAUAUCUGCAAUGUGUGAGACGUUUGUUUCCCUUUGUGCAGACAAAGAAUAAUUCAUAAUAGACUAUUUACAGGAUCACAUCACUAUGGAACAACUUUACCUGGAGCCUCAGGGUAACACCAAAAUUGAUAAGCUGUGCAAAGACAGCUGAAAUGCAGCCAUUCCUCAAGAGAGGCAUCAUAAUGCUUGGGAAUGUCACAUGCAUGUGUUUGUGAUAAAGGCAAAGUAUCAGUGUAAUAUUUGAGGGCGAGAAAAAAAAGGACUCAAUAUAAAACUUUCCAACCAAAUUUCUGAGGCUUGGUGGCCACCAUGCUUUUUUGAGGGUUAUCAGCAACUCAGCCGAUUUGGGUUCCAGGAGUGUCCAGGCAAGCUUCACCAGCCUUGUGGUCACAGUGAGAAGCCGGUGCUGGGAGCAAGCCCAAGGACACUGUGCUACAAAGAGACUGCAACAUGGAAAGAAGUGAGCUGCCACAAAACCAGAAGCCCUGAGUUCCCCACUGAGCUGCUCUGCUCAAGAGAAAAGAGGACUGGGAGAGCUGCAGUUGCCAUUGCUGCAUGGAGUUGCUGAAGCUGCAUUCCUGAAGGAAGAACUCAGGAGUGAAAGAGAAGCAGUCUGUCUUGAGCAAGAGGAUGAAGAAGGUGCUGACUUGGAAGGAGCCCCGCAGGUCCUUGGAGUGGGGCUGGAGCCACCUGGUCCUUGGCUGCGGGGUUGAGCCUGGAGGCCAGCCAGCUGCCGGGGGAUGCUGAGUUCCCCUUGCAGCUUGACAGCCGAGAGGUGCCUCAGAGACCCCAAAGUGGGACCACAUGACAGAAAGGUCAGUACCACGCACAUGCUUUUCAAUAUGCUGCUAUUUCUUUUUCUGUAACUUUUCAGUUUGGCAGCUGAGAGUUUAAUUAACCUUUCACUGUGCUAGAGCACUUUUUGUCUCUAAGCUCGCCCAAAGCACAUGCCUGAGCCCAGAUCAGUCCCAGGAUUUCUGUUGCUCUGGAAGCAAUGAACCCACACAAGGCAGUGUGUGCAGACUGCACACCUUUCGGGUGCCUGCAAACCAGGAGGUGUUAGGAAAUGGCCAUACUCUGCUUACAACUAUUAGGGCACACUGGGACCAACCCACCAGCCUGAAAGAACCAGCCUGGGGUUAGUACCACCAGAGACAGUUCACAGACAGAAAUUCCUCAGGUUUGUGCUCUCCCCACCUAUAUUGAGCUAGAGAGAUAGCUUAGUAUGCCUUUUUAUCCCAAAAUGUCUCACCUAACAGAGACAGCCUCAGAGGCUAAAGCACAUGGCACCAUUAUUAGGAAAAAAAGCCAGAUGGGAUUUUGAAAUGGGACCUGACUCCAGCUUCGUACUUAAAAAUCAGUUUUGAAGAGUAAAAUGUGUGCAAAUACGUUCUCUGCAAGGUGAGUCACUUCUGUCCCUGCGUUUUGCAUGAGUAUGAUAAUCACAGCUCCUUCCUUAUCUGUACUGAAAUGCAGCCGUUUCUCUACUGUCCUCCCUCCCUCCCUCCCUCCCUCUCCCGAGUUGUCAUUCCCAGAUGCCAAGUUCUUUCAGUCACUUAUCUGGCAGGUGUGUAUGAAAAGCGCUGUUAGUUCAAGGACACAUACUAAUAAAAUAAACAUAUCACAAAAGGCACCACCUGAUCAAUAUGUUUAACAUUUUGUGCAACAGAUAAACCCAGAAGGAACUGAUGAAGCAUCAAAAAUUGUUAUGUUUACCAAGUAGUUACACGUUACUGGAGCAACCUAUACGAACAGGAUUCAUCCCUGGUUAGUCCUUCCUUGCUGUUAUAUCACACCAGCCCAAAGGAAGUUUAAAAGGAUUCCUUGAAGAUUUCCCUUUGAAUAACUCAACCACCUCAGUUUAUCAUGACAUAUGGAUCAGCUUGAGAACAUUGACUUCAACAGAGAGUGGGUAUCAAUGGAUCACUUUGCCAGGUGGCUCUUAGACAACACAGGAGAUGCUCAGCAGAGGGAGGAGCAGCAGAAGACGACCAAUAAGAGAAUGCUGAUGGAAGAAAAGUCCAUAAAAAAGCAUAGCAGGUCUAUUUUGAUAAGGAAUUUGACCUCACAGAUCAUCACAUUGGAAGAAACAAAAAUCCUGGACAAUUUCAACCUUUUAUUUCAGAAUACUGAGGUGCUGUCCAUGCAGCUACUGACACAUACCCAGUGCAUUGAGAGGUAGUUCAUCCCCUGCUAUCAAGUUGGUAAUGCAGAAGAAAUCUGCAUGGGGAACUUCGUGGAAGGCAGCCAGUCAGAUCUGGUUUGCAUUUGUCCAGAGCAAGAAUUUCCUUUGCUACUUAUUGGUGUCUGCUUAACAUGAGUGAGAUGGGAGAGAAAGGCUGUCUGCAAUGAAUCAGACUCACUCUGGACAGAUAAAACAGAAAGGCAACAGCAGGGACUUCAGUAUUGCAAUCUGGAAAACAAAAUAAUAAUAAAAAAGGGAUUAAAGUGAUAAUUUUUAGCUGACAGACUUUGUUUGUAAAGCUACAGUCAUCUAAUGAAUUUUCUGGAUGGCAUGUAUAUGCUUCCCUGGAGUUACUUGAUUAAAUAAUUGAUGGGAAAUGAAAAUACAACUGUGUGUAGGAUGAUGAAGUGCAUGGACUGUCUCUGGCACACCCAAUUUUUUUGUGUGAAUUACUCCAGUCCCACCAACAUGCUUCUGAGUGAAGCUUUGACUUCAUCCAUCAGUCCCCUGGGAGAGCAGCCCAGUAGGUGUGAGUCAGAUUUAUUCAUUGCCUGGUAAGUCAGCCUGAAACAGUGAUGGGACAGAAAAAAGCUGCUCCACCUGGAGCACAGUGUUAUCUGGUGGAUACAACUAACCAAAAGACAUAUAGCCAUUCUGGUCAAGAGUUAUAUUAACUCUUCAUCCUCCCAGACUUCGUCUCAUGGAGCUGGUAUGAGGGCUAUGCUGGCUUCCUAGGCAGCCUGUUCAUGAAGGAACUCAAGGAGACUGGGCAGUUAUUUCCCCUUCUGAGGGCAAAAAAUGCCCUCUCUGAGUCCUACAGACUGGGUUAGUCCAGGAGGCAGCAAAUAUGAAAAAGCUUUGUGGACCUCUUCACUAUGUAGACUUUGAGACCUAAAAGUGGUAGGUGUGGGCAAAUGGGGAGACCAUGGUGUAUUCCUGAAAUCUGGGUUAGAAGCCACAGCAGCACGAAGACCACAACCAAGGGCAGGGCUUCCCUCUUGCUUGCCUCCUCAGUUCUACAGCCUGAGCUGACCCCUUCCUAGCCAGAGUGCUCUGCAUCGUGAAAGAAGCAGAAUUUCUUGGCAUUGGAGAUAUACUACAAGCCUUAACAAAGGGAAAUGAUACCAGGGUUUAAUACAGAAUAAGCUUCAGCACAACCGCAGACUUCAUAAAUCAUUAUGUUCUUGGCUCUCAUUUUGUAAGCAGACCUUCAAAGUCAGCUUUGGUUUAUUUGACAUAAUUACUACAAUAGUACUUGUCAGCUUGUUAUGUAGAAGGCUCAGGUAUUCGGCAUUCAGGUCAAUAUAUCAUACAUAGAUAUUCUGUAUCUUUGCAUAGCGCUCGUUAGUGUAACGCUCAGAAAUGGACUAAUGUUGUGUGAAUAAUUUCAUCAGGGCAAGAUUAUUUAGAUCUACUCACCCCAAACUCACAUUAUUUUUAAAAAACAUAUUUAAAUUCAUAGGAAGCAGAGAAGACUGCAUAUAUGAAAGGCUGCCUCAUAGCAUCCGCAGUUUUAAAGAAAGUAACCCUUUGUGUCUUAAUUUAAUUUGUAAUUUCUUUGCUUCCAGCUCAGUGGAGCAUGGAAAAGAUGCACUCGCUCUACCAAAUCCACCCUAAGUUCUUAACAUGAAAGCUAACUCAGAGAAAAGUAGAAUGUAAUAGUCUCACAAACUUAGAAGCUGAAAGGUGUGGUCUUAGCUUGGUCCCCAUACUAAUGAUCCAAUCUCUUCCAAUAAUUUCAUAUAUUAGUCAAAUGUUUAUCACAGUUAAGUUUAUAGAGCCAUGGGGAUGUAUAAUGGGUCCAUAAAUAACCUUCCCUAAGUCACUGUUAAACUGUAAUUAGUUAGGAAAUUAUUUGGCUUUUCUGUUCUGUCCUUGGCCAUGGUUGCCUUCAAAGUAAACACUUCACUGCCUUUUGAAGGGUCCUUACUGAAAACUAGCUGAAGACAAUGCACAUCUUUCUAUUGUGUCUGAUGAGGACUUUGUCAAAGAGCAGAUUGUUGCCACUAUACUUCAAAUUAUGGUAGUGCUUGAGUGUUUUCAGCUCCCAUUAGUCGAACAUGUCAUGAGAUGAUAGCUGACUAUUUAAAGUGGCUUGAAGGAUUUUUUUGAGAUAUGUAGGACUGAAAACUUUGCCACUGUUUCCUUCUGAUAUGAGCACGGUUAUGGGGCUCUACAGGCUGCCUUAUUUCAAGAUUUGUCUAAUAUCCUCAUAUUUACUUUAAACUGGCCCGGAAGAAGACUGAAGUAGAGGACAUGGAGGCCCGACCACUGCGCAUGAUCCUGGAUGGGAACCUGACUUAACAUCGUUCCACGUUUACACUUGUUUCAUUGCAUUUUCAAUACAGAACAAAGGUACUUCUAUAUUUGUAAUGGUUAUUUAUAGGUCUGAUUCUGUUUGUGUGAGGGGAAGUUUUAUGAUGUGGAUAUGUUAUAUUACCAUUUAUGUAACAACAGGCUGGUAGGAGUCCAGAGCUAUGAACUAGGAUUGUCCAAACAGAAUGAGCAAAGGGUAGAAACUGAGGAAAGGCACAGAUACAACCAUAGUUGCCUGCUCUGCUUCAGUCUCUCUGUCCCUUCCAAACAUAAGGAUCAAAAGAAAAUUUUUCACAUUCACUGUGACUUGAUAUCAGCUAAAUUUACUUUGAACUUAUAUCAGGUUGUAGAAGCUUUUUCAUCUCCACUGCAACAGGAAACUUUCAUUUGAUUUCCAAGGGACUUGAGUUUGGGUUUCUACUAAAUUAAGAUCUUUGAGUAUUAGGGCCUCUGAAAACUGUUACUCAACCCUUCCAUUCUCCUCCAUUCAAUUUCAUGCUUCUAAUUUCUGUGCUUCUAAUGAAGGGGAUGUUUAUUACCAGGCAUCUAAAUUGAAUUGAUCUGGCAAGUUGCUGAGAAAUGUAAGUUGCAAAACAUUUGAAAUGAAUGAAGUCUUUUCCAUCAAAAAACUCUCAUGUCAAAAGUGAAGACAAGUCUCCGCUUUACCUCUUCUGAAGUACUGGAUGUUAGACAUUAAUCAUUGAACUGGAAAUCCAAUUACAUGAUUAUUAAUCAGAUGCAUUUUUUUCAACUUGGGGGAAAAAAGGCCAAGUGAAACAUGAAAGUCCACUGGGAAACACUGCCAAUUAAAGCAAUUAAAAGAGGAUGUGGAGUUCUUAAUUCUUACACUUGACUAGGAAGAUGAUUGACUGGGCUUGACUCUCCUGGGUAUGGGUGUUCUGGGCAGUUUUUUAUUUGCUUCUUAAGAUCAAAUGCUUCUGUUUCCUUUAUGAGGCAUAAUUGAUUUUCUUUGCAGGAAACUUUACUUAUUAUGAUAUGGAUAGCUGAUCAAGUUUAAAAUGUUUGAUCAGGUUAAGCGAUGCCUGUCAUUUAACAUUCCCACUCAUGGAGAGAAGCACAUUAUCCUUCCACUCUCAUAACAUUCUGCAGACAGACUUUCUGACAGCUGAAGUGUAGCCAGUAAAUUUCUUUUCCAUUAUUUGCAAAUUGUACAAUAAUAUACUAAAGUAAUUACACCAUAAAUCUUCUUGCCAUGAAGUUAAGCUCUGUGGUGCACACUCAUAAAAUAGUGCAGUAGCAAAUAAAAUCACUGCAUCGGCAUAUAUUAGUCUUGCAGUAACUUUUCUGAGGGUGGUCAAAAACAUUGACAAGAGUGAAUUGGGAGGAACUGGAAGGAAUUCAAUGUUUCUUGUUUGGUGAUUUGGUUGUUUUUUGGGUGGUUUUGGGUUUGUUUGUUUUUUUGGGGUUUUGUUUGUUGUUCUUGUUGUUGCUUUUUUUUAGGAGAGGUUAUAAUUCUUCACUAAUUAGGGCUACCUUAUAGCUGCAUAUGGGUCAGAGCAAGGAUUGUUGCCAACAACCUCACCUCCUUACAUGUGCAAUGUGAACUAGAAUAUAAUACUCCCUGGAUCAUCCAGGGUGCGAUGAGUCCAAGACAGACUGUGUUGGAGCACCUAAAGAGUCUACCCAGUCUAAACAGAAUAUCUCUAGGGUAAAUCUAACCAUUGCAUGGCUCUAAAAUGCUUUGAAGAUCAGGGAAACACAAAUGAGAAUAUUUGCACUAAAAGUAGCUGCCAAUGCAUCAAUUUUUUAUUAGGUCCCUAGAAAAGAACAGGCAGGUACUGUACCUGAAGCACUCUUUGAAUACCUGAAUGUGAAGAGUCACCAUUUAGCAUUCACUACUCUAUUGCAAACUUUGGCAAUAAUAUUAUGGUUUCUAGGCAGUUUUGUUCUCAAAGCCAAGGGCUCCCCUGGAGACAAAGCUGCCUGUAACCUUCCUCACACUCCUUGAACUGUGCAAUAGGGAAUUUCCUCCAUUUUGGGGAGAGCAUGGCAUCAGCCAUCCCAUCCCAUCCCAUCCCAUCCCAUCCCAUCCCAUCCCAUCCCAUCCCAUCCCAUCCCAUCCCACAAUUUUUUCCCUUUAGACCAAAGACUCUAAAGGUCUCUAUUUCCAGAGAGACCAGGGGCUGAUGCAGUCUUCCAUCAAGCUGUGAUAUGUGUUUGCACCCAGACAGCCAUGGGUCUUCCCCAGAACAAGGACCAUGUGCUUAAAACUUCUGUAUUGACCCCAAGGAACGGGGAUGUCCAUGUGCACUGAGACUGUACGGCACCUGCUCUGCCUUCCUUCUUCUCCAGGCAGGCUGCCAGCCCCCCAGAAAGCUGGAUGCCCUGAGAUAAGAACUGCAGGCUGGAUUUAUAGGACCCAUGUCAAAUUUAAUUUACUACAGUGGGUAUGGCUCAGCACUCAGACCGUGUGAGCUUUGCUCUCUACCCAGAACAAUGUCAAUGCUGCCAUUCACUCCUCCUGCAUAAGGGGCAGUGUUUAGAGAUGGCAUGUUAUUCCUAGGACUAUUCAUUUCUUGUGGUUUGGUGGCACAGGUGAAGAGGUGGAUUCACGGUAGCGAUCAGAUUGCUGGAGAAAAUAGUGCAGAGGCAGGGCAGGAAAAACUUAUGCUGAAAAAGCCAACAUUACAGCUUCUGAUUUGGCACAACGCUGCAGCCACGGACCUCUGCCAGGGAUCAGCCGUGACUGCAAGAGUAUGCUUGUCAGUGUGGGAGCAUGUCAGGUGAACUGGCUUUGCUAUUCCGUGAAUAAUUACCCUUACAUUACAGCAUCCUUGACUGGGUCUCGAGCAACAGUAGUGUGAAAUGGGCAUUUGACUUUGAUUCAUCUGGGAACCGCGCAUGUACAGGAGCCCUGGAGAGAUACUUUCCCUGCACGUAAAGGCCCAGGAAGUACAUUUGAUUAUAUUCACUAUAUUUGGUGUGAUUUGCUGCACUCAGAUAUUCAGCUGCAAUUAGGUGGUUAGAGACUCAGCAUUAAUCUUCAGCUCUCUGCUGCCUAUCAUUCUGUUCCCUUACAUAUUUUAGCUUGUAGCAUUAUUCUGAAUGUUUUCAUUGGGAAAUAUCCCUGCCUUGGACUUGGUGGUGGUGGCAGGAUUUCUGUGUGCAUCUCCCAUCAGUACCCAAAUCUCUUCUAUUCAAGGCUCUUCAGAGAACUUGUCUCUCAAAUGACAAUUAUGAUGUUUCUUGUCCAACCCAGGGACCUAUCAAAACCCUGCUGAGUUGGUGCCCUGAUGUUAGACCCUCAAGAAAUUGCUUGUUCCUUGAUGCCAGAGCAUAUUCUUUGAUGAACUUUCUGAUUUUUUUUCUCCCAUUAGUAUUUCUUUUGAUGUUCAGAUACAUCUAAGUUAUCUUCUACUUUCUUCCUUCUAAAAAGGCUCACAUGCUUGGUGCUCUUAUUAUAUUAAAAAAAUAUUUUGAAUUUGAUUCUUCACUCACUGUUCUUCCUGCUUUUCAGUUAAUUUUUCAUAAAUAAUUAAAUAAGAUAAAAACAGGGGACAUUUAAUUGUACUUGUGAUGAGGAAAGAAAGUGUUAGAAAAGCCACUGUGGGGAUGACAGUGGAGAACCUCUGCUCUUGAGGGAGCUCUCUUCCAGGCAGCUCUUAAUUCUCAAUGCUUUUAACUGAUGAGAGAGGACAGUAAGUGGAUGGACUUCUCCCUGUGUGCAGCCUUCUCUCUGGAAGCUUUAAUCUUGUUUAGCCCUGGUCUGAUAUGGACACAUUGUUUACCGAUGAUAUCCCCUACUAGGGAGGAAGACCUCAAUACACCACAGGUAAAGCUGAUCUUUAUCCAUGUAGUGCUCAGCCACCCUGAAGAAAUCACCCUCUACAGGUUUAUGGAGAACAUUUUACAUAUAUUUAAUCACUUUGUUGUAUUCCAUAUCACAAGUGACUUUCCCUUUGAAAUCCCCAGAAUGGUUUCAGGUAGUUAUGAACUUGAGGAUUGUUUUCAGAACUACUAAGAAUAAAUUCAUCCAGGAUAGGAAAUAUAACCCAAUCCUAAUGCUAUACCAUGCUGAAGAUCACCAUGAAAGACAAUAGAGAAGUGACAGACAGAAUCCAAACAAUUCUUCUAUUUCUGUCUGUGCACAAAUCACAAACAAACCUCAGUCUUAAGUAGUUUUUCAUUCAAAUCUCAUUGUUUUCUCUCUCUAGAGUCAGCAUAUGUUUCACCUGAUAAUAGAGCUGUCCAGUCACUGGAGAUGCUAAUGUGCUAACCUCACUCUUCUACUUUAGAUCUUCCAAGAUUAAAGGCCUUCCUUAAAAUAAAAUUAAAAAACAAACAAACAAACAAAAAACCCCUGUUAUUCAACUUAUUGUUAUUAUUAGAUAUGCUGAAUAAUAUGACGUGAAUGGAGCUAUGAAGAGAUCGGACUUGGCAAGAAUAGUAUUUUUGAAAUUUGUGGAUCUACCUCUCAGUUAUACCCUCCUGCUGCUGAAAAAGUGUUGAAUGAAGCUGUAAAGCUGGGAAUUUUGUGGAGUUUAACAUAAAUUAUCAUUAGCUCCUCUGAAGUUUUCUUUCCUUGGGUUUAUCUCUGGUACAUCCCUUAAGCAUCCUUGAAGUUCAAAAUUUUGUGUGUCUCUGUUUAAACAGAUGUGGGUUGUGCUCUGCUGUUUGUGUCACAGAUAUAAGAGAGAUGGGAAACUAGGCUGAGUUUUGAAUAUUUUUCCUCUAUUUCUUUGGUGAGAUAUUGUAUCAGGUUGAUUCUAAUUGUCCCCUAUAUAUUAAAAUUGCAAAAUGUCUAUUUUAAUAGCUCAAGUCACCUACACAAUGCCAUGACCCAACUUUUAACCACCAAACUAAAUCCUGUGGACAUCUACAGCAUAAGGAAUAAGAGAAAAAAAAAAAAGAAAGAAAAGAGAAAUGUGAAACGAGUAAAUGCAUAUUAAUUUUCUAUGAUAAGUAUGUGCAGUUACUUUACUAUAUAGCCAAAUUAAUUACAAAUGCUACAACUAUAAUAUUGAAAGUAAACAAUAGGAAGAGAACAGGACAAAACUAGCCAUUAAUCUUUGUGCAUCCAAAACUGUCAUGAGAAGAAAAGAGUUUUAGGAAGGGAUCAGAGACUCCUCACUGUCUAAAGUUCUUGUUGUGCUUUACUUUCCACGGCUGGAUGCAGAGAAGCAAAUCCAAAUAAUUCACUGCAUAUUUUGCCUUGCUUUUAUUUACAUUUGGCAUCAGGAUGCAGCUGUACUGACUCUUUUCGCGUAAGGCAAGGUCAUAUUCAUCAUUCCAUGUUUAAAUAAUCCUUGUGUUUUCAGUGUCUUGUAGUACAUAUCCUACUAGACCAUCUCUGUUGGGUUUCUAUGAAAUUUUUCAUUUUUCCUGUGGCUGAUGAAAUGAAUUAUAAUGAUGUACUUCCUACCAAAAGCAUCUAUCAUUUAAACUCUCACAAUUCCCUGAGCCGUCAGUACUGUUAAUAGUCAACUUAACACCUUCAUCCCUUCAGUGUAUGAAGACUGACAACAGUGUUUAAAUGGAGUACAAAGGCUACCUCCAGGUAUGUGUUAUUUGGGUUAAAAUCUGGACUCCUUUGUCAGAAGUUCAGUUUUCUCUAGAGUUCAGGCUUUAUGGUAAUCUAGGUCAAUUCUGUGCAAUUAUGGAAGAUCAGAUAAAAGUUUUUUCUAUUAGCUCCUAGGAAAAAAAUGCUUAUUGGGCAAGGAAGCUGGGAAAUUUUCCUUUAUGAAAUUGUGUUUUCUCUGUCUUGACCUCUUUCUGGGAACUGCACAGAUAUUAAGCAUGAGACUCAAUUUGUGUUCUAGUUCCAUGGUGGAAUUCACCUAAUUGAAUGAGUACUAAACAAGUUUAAGCUGGUCAGUUCUUAAGAAAAAAUGACUAAGGUAUUGGCUGAACUAAUGCUGGUGAAGACAUUAUAUUUUGUAACAUAAAGGUGAUUAAUAAAGCUGGGAGAAUACAUGGAAAAAGACAGACUGCUUGGGAAAGGUGGAACUGGCUGUUAUUGGCAGAGGUUUUUCCAGUGUUAAUUCACAGUCCCAGCCCCAAACAGUUGCCAGCCACAUCAGAAGCUUUCAGGAGGUUAUUCUAUUUUUUGUGUGAUGUUUUACCCUCUUGUUUUUAUACUUUGUCUUAUGGUGGUUCCUGCAAGGAUAAUACAGGGAAUUGCCAGUGGAAGGUGACACUUUGGGAAGGGUUGAGAGGGAUUAAGUUGGUUCAUGCUAAUAGACUAACAAUUAAUGGCAUUAAGAGCUGGAAUAAACACAGUCAGCCUGUCUUGUGCCUUGAUCCAAAGGACACGCUUGCCCAUUCCUCAUGUAAGUUGGAGUGUCAGGACAUUUCACAGACAGGGUGGUUGUGACAAGCCCUGAGCAUCACUCAGGAGGCACAGAGGGAGAUGCUGUUUUUCUAGAAAAUGCUUCCCUAGGAUUUUUUCAUUGGCUAAAGGCAAUGACAAUCUUAGCCUCUAAAAGGAAUCCCAGGAAGAUACAGAGAGGGGAAAAAAGAAAAUAAAAAGAGUCAAAGCCUGUGGCUGAGAGACAAACUGUGCAGGAGACCAUUUGGCAGGUUUAGCAGAAGACUAUCACAGGUAGGACUGGGAAUUCAUGUUGACGUAAAUGUCAAUUUGCAUGGUUUAAUUUAAAACCUUCCAGCUGCUUGGUUCAGUAUAGUUUGUACAGUCUCAUUCUCUUUGUGUGUGUACGUCUUAUACAUACAUUAGACAAUUUUAGCUAAAGCAGAUGAAGGGGUCCAGGACAGUAGGACUUGGGAUAAUUCAAUUCCCAUGAAGUUUUUGGAACAUAGCUACUACAGAUUGUGCCAAAGUGAAAACUAAGCACUCUGAGAAAUUGUAUUUGUUCCUUAGCUGUACAUCACUUACAGGAUAUUCUCAAAAGAAAUGAAGAGACCACAGGAAAUGCUUUUAAGAUGAUAUGCUGGAGGCUUAUAGCCAUGUUAGCUUUCUGGUACGGGCAAAAGUCACGUUACAGUGCACCGAUGGUGUAGCAAUGCUACUUGCGAGAUGACUUGAAUCCCAGCUUUUCUAUAUUGCCUAUAUUCUGCCUGGUAAAAUAUCACAAACACGGAGUAAAGCAGAAGAGUGGUCUCCACUAGAGACAUGUCUGUAACAUCAGAAACAGUACAGAAACAGCAAAACUCACUGUGCAACACUAAAAUGAAGUGGAGCACAGCCUGAGCAGGCUGAGUCAUGUCCUCAGCACUUACACUGCAGUCAGGGAGGUAUGUUGGUCAAAAAGCAACUCUGGUGUUUCUGCUGUUGUUAUUAUUUGCAUAAGCUCUGCAUGUAUGAGGUCAGUCAUGGCUGAUCACCCCACCAGCCUGCACUGUGCAGAUGUGAAAAAUCUCAAACAGAUUCCACCUUAUGACAAUGAAUAUAUUCUGCAGAAUUUUUGUUUUCACUGCACAUGUCACUGUUUCCUCAUCUUUACUGCCUCCAGGGAGAAAAGGAAAGUAUUAAAUGUCUCAUCUUGGGCAAGGGAGAAUAAUGCAGAGAGAUUUUCACCUCAAGUACAAGCCUUCAGAGUUGGUUCUUUGUUGGUAAAUAGCAUCAGAUACCUCAGGGUUUGAAGAAAUACACUGAGAUUUCAACUGCUGAUAGAAAAUUUAACUGAGAAUUCCUUCUCCAGCUUGAGUGGAUUUCAGAGGAGCCAUGAGGUUAAAAACAAACCAAACAAUGAAGCUGGUGUUGGGGGGGUGGGAUGGGGAGGAAGGGUGCUCAUCUGGUUUCCCUAUAGAUAUGGAGCAGGAAUAGCAGAAAUCCUGGGGUUGAGCUUUGCACUGACCCUCCCAGAGGCUGUGAAACUCUAGUCUCUAGGAACUGAAAAGCAAACCAGGUGCUGAUGUUGCAGCAAACCUGCAAUUAUGGCUGCACACUGACAGCUUCUCAUAAUGAAUGAUGUCUUUAUUUUGCCACAGAAAGUGCUUUAGGAAAGCUGUAGAGUGUGACUGAGGGCUAGCUUCACCCUCUAACAGAACUGCAGAUUCAGGCUAUCCAAGGGACACAAGGGGACUAGACAGAAGCAAGACUUGAGGGAGCAAAAUUUUCUUCUUCCUUCUGCUUCAUGGCACUCCUGAUUGAGAAAAGUUGUGGCAUGUUCAGUUGUUGUCUGCCAAGACCUGGAAUGCUGCUACUGAAAAUGUCAAGGCGUUUCAUAUAUUCUUCAGUAUAAGAAACCACAAAUCCAGGCAUCAGCCAGUCUUUUAUUAUGCAGCAUUAGGAAAAUCAUCUCUCUAUUUCAAUAGGCGAACUGUGCCGUUGAUUGUACUAUAUUAUCUUGCAAUUGGCGCCAGACUUAUGAUCCUUUAAACCACACAAAGAUUAUCUUGGUUUCCUUCCAGCUGUGUAAUUCAUUUCUUGCCACUCACUGCACGAACACAUUUGGGACUACCUGUCUUUCUACGUUCAAGUAUACUAUCAGGCUUACUUUCUUCUAAGAACUCAACAUGUCCUUUUUUUUGGUGAACAACAAGGAUUCAAAAGGCUAAAAUGAAACAGGAAAAUCUCCUAAAAAAUAUAAAAUGUGUCUCCUUCUUCUCUACUGUAAUUCUGGACCCUGCUCUAGUUCUAAAGAAGAUGGGCCUUUACCUCUCGCUGUAAGGAAGGUCCAUGUCUUCGUAACACAAUGGUAGUGGGACACCUUGCGGUCUUUAAUCCACCUGUGCUCACAGGAACCCUGGGAAGACAAGGGCUGCUGUUACCCGCUGUUUUAGAGAAAAGGACAGAGAAAGAUUAAAGCGUCUAGGUAGGCUGGGCAUCUGUGGCAAGCCUUGGAUAGGAAGUCUGUAGGCUUCUGGUGAUGGUCUUGCAGCAGAGGUGGCUGCAACAAUGCUCAAGGCAAUCUCAGCUCGGCAGUGACACACCAUUCUCCAGGAGACAUUCUGCCUUUGCUUGGAGCUAGUAGUGGGGAGACAAUCAUGCUUUCUGCUGCUCAUUUGGCUCCUCUGUCCAGACUGCCUCGGGGGAUCAGCAGCUAAAUUUUUCCUAAGAUAACAUGUAUCCAGUAUUAAGAAACUGGGAGACUUCAUGCCACCUUGCAUUGUCUGGCAGAAUAUUACAGGUAAAAAUAAUUAAGGUGUGCUUUUCAUGUAAAAUACAAUGGCAGAGCUGUGGCAAUAUCAUGACUCACUUGGGGAGACACUUUGAGUCUUCAUACAGUGUUAUUUGUAAAAAAAUGUCAAUGGCUGGAAUCACCUUGCAAUAGUAACACACCUGUUUCUCUGGGGCCUUCCUUUGUCCAUUGAACUUCAUCUCUUUUGGAGUCGUUUAAGUCCUUGGGGCUUUGAAAAAACUUCUGGCAACUUUCUUUCGUGUUGUGGUUAAGCAGACGCAUUUACUGCCAGAGGGCCGCAAAAUUAAAGAAGUCAAUAGCAAAUAACAACUGUUUAUCUUAUUUGAGGUCUACAAAGCAACUGGAACUGAAAUUGACUUUAAGAGACACAAAUAUAGUUUGUGUGAUGAAGUUCCUUGUGGAUCCCAAAUCCACCUAGUGUCUCUUCCUAGUUGGAAUACCAAGAGCUUGGAUUUCACUUGGUUAUGUGGCAUAACAUACCAGUUCACAAAGUGGUCAAACACACUGUAGAUGCAGUUAAAAAUAUGGUCUAAUACAAGGAUUUAAAACCUAUGUUUGAAGUUAAGUACAUUGCAAAAUUGUUAGAAACUGGGAGUUUCCCUUGUUUCAGUGGCUGGGUGCUGGAAACUCUUAAAUAUCUUGCAAUGGUAGAUAGUGAAUAAGACAAUUUUCUUGAAUUGGUGCCUGUAACUACUAAGUCUGUGAGCACUCCCAGGAAACACAUCCAAGGAUUUAUUUGAGAAUCAGCACAUCAUAAGACCCUCUGGGAGCCUUCCUUCAGUCCUUUGUAGAUUGUAAGGCUCCAGCCAGAUGGAUGUAAGUCAUUAAAGCUCCUUAUUCUAUCCAUUAGUACACUCAUUAAUAUUUCUCAGUAGCUUGGGACACAACAUUUCUCAUGCCAAGCUUAGAAAAGUUUUCUCUUCCAUCUAAUUUUGACCUAGAGACAGCUGUAAGGAUCAAAAGCUCACCACUGAGUGGAAGAAAAACUUUUUAUAAAAUUUAUGUUUACUGAAUUUGUCAUUCUGGGCAAAACAGUAGAGGCAUUUUACUUUAGAGAUUAAAAUCUUCAUGAAGUUGUUGACCGUAGGGGUAUUUAACUUUUGUCAUUGAGCUCAGUGUUCCUGUCUGAAGCUUAUUGAACUACUAACAGUAAAACAAUGAGUUUUUCACAGCAGGUCUCAAAAAGAAAAACAAAGAAAUAACUACUUCUUCUGGGACUAGAUAAACAUGGUGCUAAAUUGUUGAUGUACCCUAGAGAUGGGUACCAUUAGAAGACAGCCAACUUAAGAACAAGUAAUUGCUUUUGAGUAGAAAAACAGAAUUGCAGAAUCACAGAAUGGUUGAGGUGGGAAGGGAACUCUGAGGGUCUUCUUGCCCAACCCCACUAUUCAAGCAGAGCCACCUAGAACCAGUUGCCUAGAAGCAUGUCCAGAUGACUUUUUAGUAUCUCCAAGGUGGGAUCCAAGUUUUCUUCUGUUGCAUAUAUAUAUUCCUACACAUAUAGACAUGUUUAUCUACUUCUAUACUUAUAUGAAUAUAGAUUAUAUAUGCACACACACGCAUAUAUAUACAAAUAUAAAAACUAUCAGAUAUGUAUAUCUGACCAUGUAUUUUAACAACAACAUCUGGGUACUCAGUAGGAAUUUGAAGAUUCGCAUUUACAAAGAUGUUCUGUAAACCUGAGGGAAAAAAACCUGAACUAGUUGAUUCAACCAAGAAAAAAACACUUCAGUGCUUAACACAGCAGGAGCACUAAUUGCUUUCUGAAAAUCGUGAGGUUGUUACUGUUCUCAGGGCAAACAAUGAGCAGUGGCUCCUCAUCACUUACCAAGCUGUAGUUUAGCCUUGAGGUCAGAGGUUAAACAUUUACUUUUUGCUCUUGGCCAUACAUGAGAAAACUCAUUAAACGGAUCUUUUGUUUUAAUAAAGGUCCUUCAUUCCUAAGAGGAAUUUAUGGAAGGAGAGACCUGGGGGUAGCGGGAAGAGUCUCAGAGCCCUGCAGGGUGUACACUGUACUGCCAAAGUCAAUAUUCCCUGUCUGUACACAAACCAAGGAGCACUCAGGCUCCAAAAACCAGUGCAAGAACUCACUUUCUGCAGGCUUUCAUUUUAGCUUUUUAUCUGGAGUGUCGUGUUGUGGUUCUUGCAGGCGCAACAACACUACUGGAAUUUGACUGUCUCUUCAGUGUUUUCUAUCAACUUGGAUAUUUUAUGGCAUGUCUCUGCUGAUCAGAGGUUAAUUAUUUCUCCUUUCUCUGGUUCCUUUGUUGUGUUGACACUCAUUGAAAGCUCAGUAGCACUCAUUCUUAGUAAAGCCUAGACAGUGCAGGACUAGAGUAGUGUUGUAGUGUAUCUGCUGAGCUGAGCUAUCUAAUCAAAGAAGACAGAGCAACAUGGCCAGAGCAGCUGAAGUGAGGAUGGGGCGGAGGUGGCUCAUGGAGACAGUCCAGGCUGGAAAGUGUGUGUUGAACCCCAUGUAUUUGGAGCUUUUUUUCUUGGAGGACUCUCUGGGUGCACUAUGGGACCCUGCUGAUGAAGGUGUGGAGGGUUAGUGGGCCCCUGGUAUCUGAUACCUUCACCUGAGAGACUGAUACUGCUGGUGUUUUGAUUGCAGCCACAUUUCCUCCUGUGCACAGCAGCACUAGGAACGAUGAGCAGAACCUCUUCUGCUUGAUGUCUCCCGUCCUGCUGUGUCCACCCACAGCCUUCCAGCCCUGGUGUGGAAGGUAGCGACCAAAUUCCUCCUUAAGCUCUUCACCCCUAGACUGAACAUCCCCCGUGCUUUCAGCCUCUCUGCAUGCCAUGCUGACGGCCAUCUCCCCAGGAUGUCAGCAAUCCAUGUUACAUCUCAUAUGUGCCACAUACACACAGCUGCAAACGUGGACUUGAACUGAAGCUCCAGUGACACACUCGGGUAUGUCUGAGCUCUGAACAAUUUUGGCCAGAUCCAGAAACAUAUAUAUACUUUUUUUUCCCCAGAUUUUUGUGUAAGUUUGUGUCAAUAUUAUCUGUUCUCUGCUCUUUCACAUCUUUGCAGAGAACUGGCUUUGAAGGGCUAAGUGUGGCAGGGAGAGUCUUCCUCUUUAAUGUGACUGUAAAAUAUUUAAGAGUUUAGACUAGGGAAGUAAUUUCAAGGCCUAGUUCAGCAUUACAUCUCUCUUCAUGAAAACCCAUCUUCAAAAAGCUGCUUCAAGGCCAAGGGAUGCCAAAAAGAAUAUUUCCAUUGACUUUUGUCUGCUUUGCUUUCUGUUCUAAAGAAAAUCCAAUUUUCAGCUAAGCUAUCAACUCCAUUUGGCAUAAAACAUUGGCCAAUUUCACAUCUUGGUUACUUCAAGGAGAGAUGACUCCAAGGCUGAGCUUCUGUUUUCACAAAGAAAAGCAUAAAAACCAGGUUCCUUGUUAGUAACACAAAAAGCUCUGCACGGGGAAAUGAGCUGUCUUUGCAAUGGCACAACUGAUAUUUUAGCCUCGGGAUCCCUUUCUAAAGGUCAAAGCACAAUUUUAAACCCAGAAUAUUACAAUGCAUUUAAAUAUCUGAAAUCUAGGGUAAACAAGAUCUGCUAAUGUAAAACAGAAACGAAGAAAUCAUAUCUACUCUCCUCAUACCAGAAUUGACUCAUCCCAGGAAUAACAAUUCCAAGCAGUGAGAAAAUGAAAUUGCUCUUUCAGUGCCACAACCUUGGAUUUAACACCUUCUUCCUCACUGCACAGAGGCGUGGUAGCCUCUACAAUAAGGUGACUGGCUUAGUGGAUGAAAGGAGAGCAGUGGAUGUUGUUUAUCUUAACUGUGGGAAGUAACUUUCGGCAGUGUUCUCCAUUAGAUACUCAGAGACAAACUGAUGAAGUUUGGGGACAAUAAAUGGAAGUGACAUGGGGAGAAACUGGGUGAAUGGCUGGACUGAGAAGGGUGAGACCAGCAGCACAAAGUCCACCUGGAGGGCAGCACUAGUAGGGUAUUCUGGGUCUCGAUACUGGGUCCUGUACUGUUUAAUAUUUUCAUUAAUCACCUAGGUGAUAGGACAAAGCGUACCCUCUGCAAGUUUGUAGAUGAUACAAAACUGACAGGAUACACAGGAUGACUGUGCUGCCAUUCAGAGGGACUGAAGAAAGGAGUGGAGAAAUGGGCCAACAGGUAUGACAGGUAAGACAAUGUCCUGUUCCCUGAGAGGAAUAACCGCAUGCACCAAGCGCAGGCUGUGGGAUGACUGGCUGGAAAUCAGCUCUGCAGAAAAGGUCCUGGUUCACACCGAGUUUGACAUGAGCCAUCAAUGUGCACUUUAGGCAAAUGAGGCAAGUAAGGCCAAUGACACUCUGGGUUGUAUUAGAAAGUGUUUCCUGCAGGCCAAGGUAGAUGAUCCUUCCCAUCUGUUCAGCGCUGAUGAGACACACCUGGAGUGCUGUAUCCAGGUCUGGGCUCUCCACUAUAAAAGAGAAAAGGACAUACUGGAUUAAGUCCGGCAAAAGGCCAUGGAGAUGGUUAAGGGAUUGGAACAUCUAUCACAUGAAGAGAGGCAGAGAUCUGGUGUUGUUCAGCUUGAAGGUAAGAAGGCUCAGGUGGAUCUUAUUUAUGUGUAUAAACACCUGGUGGGACGAGUAAAGAAGAUAGACCCAGACUCUUCACAGUGAUGUCCAUUGACAAGGAUGAGAAGCAAAGAGCACAAACUGAGAUACAGAAAGUCCCAUUUGAAAGAAAAAACACUUUUCCUUGUGAGGCUGGUCAAAUACUGGCACAGGCUGCCCGGAGAGGCUGUGGUGGCCCCAUCCUCAGAGCUGUUCAAAUCCCAGCUGGACACUGCCCUGAGCAAGGUGCUGCAGCUGACCCUACUCUGAGCAGGGAACUGGAUGAUCUCCAGAGGUGCCUGCCCACCUCACCUAUUCUGUGGUGCUUUGAUUGGAGUAUACAAAGGAUUUUUGCAAGACAUAUUGAAGAAAACAGUAUGUUAUAUGACGUCAAGUGUCAUCAAGGCCACUAAGAACUGAUAAAUCCUGAAUACUACUUGGAGAGAAAUUCAGAGCGUGACUUCACUGUAGCUGAGAAUAUGUGUUUAUAACACCAAUUAUGGGUACAUGUUAAUUGUUCUUCACCAAAAUGCAGGCUCUUUUACAAAUGUUUUUGUCAUAGAAAAAAAAAAGUCUUGAUUAAAGUACUUGAACCUUCAAAACAUGCCAGUCAUUCUGUCUGUAAGGUGGUAAAGCCAGCAAAUCACUCUCAUGACUAUUUCCUUACUAAAAAAAAACAAUGAAAUUGAAAAUACCUCAGUAUGUGUGUAUUGACUUUUAUUCCUAACACUGAUUUAACUGUAAAGGUCUAUUAAAACAGAGAU